GAUGAACGCUGGCGGCGUGCCUAAUACAUGCAAGUCGAGCGAACGGACGGGAGGCUUGCCUCUCUGAUGUUAGCGGCGGGCGGGUGAGUAACACGUGGAUAACCUACCUAUUGGGCUGUGGUCCCUUGGGGAAAGCGUUAAUAAUGCCGGCGAAUUAUUUGAACCACCGGGUUAAAAAGUGGAAUCCGGUCUUGCUGUUAGUCGACGACGGAUUAGCUAGUUGGUAGGGUAACGGUAUACCAAGGCGACGAUAAGUAGCCGAUCUGAGAGGACGAUCAGCCACACUGGAACUGAGACACGGCCCAGACUCCUACGGGAGGCAGCAGUAGGGAAUCUUCGGCAAAGGGCGAAAGCCUGACGCAGCAACGCCGCGUGAGUGAUGAAGGCCUUCGGAUUGUAAAGCUCUGUUAUUCGGGAAGAACAUAUUUGUAAGAAUCCGGGCGCAGCAUGACGGUACCUGAACAGUAAGCCACGGCUAACUACGUG
rnacentral:rRNA from 1 species